rnacentral:rRNA from 2 species
CAGCCGCCGCGGUAACACCAGCCCCUCGAGUGGUGGGGAUGAUUAUUUGGCCUAAAGCGUCCGUAGCCUGUCAGGUAAGUUUCCCGUUAAAUCUAACGUCUCAAGCGUUGGCCUGCGGGAAAUACUGUCUGGCUAGAGAGUGGGAAAGGUCUGCGGUAUUCUGGGGGUAGGGGCGAAAUCCUUUGAUCCCCGGAGGACCACCAGUGGCGAAGGCUGUAGACUAGAACACGUCUGACGGUCAGGGACGAAAGCUGGGGUAGCGAACCGGAUUAGAUACCCGGGUAGUCCCAGCCGUAAACGAUGCAUGCUAGGUGUUGGGUUGGCCACGAGCCACCCCAGUGCCGCAGGGAAGCCGUUAAGCAUGCCGCCUGGGAAGUACGAUCGCAAGGUUGAAACUUAAAGGAAUUGGCGGGGGAGCAC